UGGUGAGUUAGGCCGGGAGGUCAGCGGUCUCCUGUAACCCCAAAUCCGCUUACGGGGGGGUCGAAGUCUUGGGGGCGUGGUGCUUGCCGUCCUCCAGUCCAGGACCAAGCGCUGACGUCUUGUCCCGCAGGACUCGGCCCGUUUGGAACCUGGUCAGGCCGGGAACGGAGCAGCCAUAACAAGCGGGUUGGGUGCUUGUGGGGUUGCAGGACUGAGUGAGGUUCUGGGUAGCUGGGGGAUUUGCAGGCACUGCCACCCCAAGACGUACUCACCA
rnacentral:SRP_RNA from 1 species